UCUCAGGGAGAUAUCUGUACACUGACUGGUGUCUCUCAGUCCCCUCUCUCUCUCUCUCAGGGAGAUAUCUGUACACUGACUGGUGUCUCUCAUGGGUUUAUUGGUUGUGUUUCUGUCACCCUUAGGUCGGUCACCAGGCAGGGGAGCAGUUCACGUUUCAUUGGUGGGAUCAUGUGUUCAACCAGGCAGCAGCCAAUAUCUCUGUGGAAACCAAAGAGGAUGGGGUGGAGGUGAAGAAUCUUGCCGAGGGAGGGGACGUGUCAGUCACCAACACGAAGCCUCGCAAGGCCCGACUUUGCAAGGAGCUGCUGUACGGGCGGUUCAUCAAGGCUGACACCCUGACUCCUGGCAGCGAGGCGACGCUGGUAAAAUCCGAGAGCACCAACGACAGCGAUGAGGACGACAGCCUUGACCUCUCCUCGACCAGAAGACUGACAGAUGAAGAAUUGGUACGGGCGUGCGGGGGCCGAACUGGGCACAA